UUUUCAAAGAGUUGAAUGUUUCUGAACAGUCUAGUCUUAAAAAUACGCUUAUUGCUUCCUCAUUUACUUGACAAUAUAUUUCGAAGGCAGCUGUUGUGCUAUGAGCUAUGCGUUCAUUGGCUUUGAUUACCAAUGUAAGCCAAUUGCCUCCUUAGCGACUGCCUGCGCGUGUCCAUAAACAAAGUACAAAGAGUGUUGUCCGGUGCCCAGCGACGUCACCGCAUUUGAUUGCGCGACAGUGUGCCAUUAGACUCAAACACUGUGGCAUGUUUCCCGAGGUAAGAUACCCUGAUGUGACUCUGUUUCGGAACUCGUCUCUCUUGCACUGAAAUGGGACAGGGGGUGUGGAAAGAAGCAGAAUCUCCCUUCUCAGGCAUUUUUAAUACAAAAACACACUGUUUUAACACUCCGAUUUGAGGAUCCAUGGGAAUACCAUUUUCGUCAGAGAUGUCCACCGCUGCAACUCCAACCGUCCCGUCUCAGUUAACGUCGGAUCAACUCACCGUCAUUGUGGCAACAUUUUCCUCUCUGGUGUUCUUUGUGGUGAUCGUGGUGCUGCUUAUAUACCGCAAAGACCCUCACUGCUGCAAAUUCCAGUGCUGUCCAGAUUCUAGUGGAGACUUGGACGCCCCUCCUCACUACUACAGCAGCAGACAGGCCCUGGUGGGAACGCCCUGCCAGGACCAGGCUCAGGACACAGUGCACAACAGCGCCCGUUCGCAGACGGGACAGCUGUUCCUGAUCGGCCUGCCGUCCAGCUACCGCCUGCCCUCCCUGGAGGCGCCCCUGCCCAGGCUGCCAUCCUACGAGAGCGUCAGGAAGAAGGACCGCCAGAGACAAAUCCACAUGAUGAUCGCAGACCGUUUUGGCCUGAACGGCCCCAUGCUGUCUGAGGUAACACAAUGUAGCCGCGUACAAUGCCGUCGCCAACCCGGAGAAAGAUUUGUGGGGCCCCAUGUCAUUUGUGGGGCCCCAUGUCAUGGGCCCCCUUGUCGUCUAAAAGCUUCAGGAUUACCGUCGACGGCCCUGGUAACAGAACUGAUGUGUUCUUACAUGCUGCCUGACAGUCGACAUUACGGAUUGUUACCCAAAGUUAAUCUUUAGUUCCCGGUCCUUUAUUAAACAGCCUCACGUAAUCCGCCGUUAACUGAAGAAUGCCGGGGUCUGUCAUCUUUAGUUUUGACAAUAAACAAGAUGAUAAACUAGAGGUGUUCAUUUGAACUGUGCUGUCAUGGGAUAACCGGGGCUCAUUCAGAGAUUGAACACUAUUCAGAAGACAGUAAAUGGGAGCCCUAUCAGGUCAUCUCCUGCUUCAGCGACAGGCAGACUGCACAUUUUCAGGUUUCACCGUGUCGAUCUUUUACCAGGGGGUUUGACUGCGUAAUGCUCGAGCAAACAAGGUAAUGAGAAACAGGCACAUCAAACAUAAUUAAUGCCCGGGUCCUCAGUGUAAACAAUAGCGGUGAACACAGCGUUGUGCUUUCCUCUUUCACUCGACCUGUUUGCUCUUCUUUUUCAUUACGUAUUGACCUGGUCAGUAAGUGCUCUCCCACCAGUCCCUCACCCGGUCCCCGUUAGCUCAAAGUGACCCCCCCCACACACUAGAGUGGGUACCGACGGCCCGUAAUUGCCCUCUGUGCAGUGGCCAGAAGAGGCUGCAGUCAAACUGCGGUCGCCCUGUCCUGGUGGGUGUGGUGUUUUUACAGGGCUGGUAGAGGAGCGCAGGGCUCUCACUUCCACCCUCAGGGCCCCCGAGCAAUUAAAAGAUAAGAGGAGUCCGUCAGUCAGGGAGGGAGGAGCCGGUUGAUGACAGAGAUUGGCUUUGUACUGGAGGAGGGACCCUCAUGGCUGCCUGGGUGCUGCCAAACUAAUCUGUCAUGUAAAUGCUAACAUGAUGAGAUCAGGUUCUGUGUCAGAUGUAUCAGCCAGUACCCACAACACCUGUGGUUCGAUGCUCUCGCGUUCGCCAGGGCGAAGGUCACAGUUUCUUUUUUUGCGGCGUGACCAAGUUAGCGUGACACUUUCAGGAAGGAAGAAAAAAAAAAAAAACAUUUGAAACUUGAAUUAACCUGGAAAACACUGUUACACGUUCCAGUCGAUUAAAGCUUGAAUCUCAGACAGCGAUAGCCCCCCUCAGUUUAGUUCAUUCCAAGACCUGGGACCAUCGUAGUCCUCGUUCUAGGUGGUUGAUAUGAAGAUAUGCAGGGAGUUGCCUGAGCACUGCCUGGUACACAACCAUUUACCAGUGCAGCCUAGUAGGGAGGGAGGGCCUCUUCACCAUGGUGUGUUCACAGUGAUGGGUGAGUCAGUCCUUUACAUUUUAACCACUUGGCAGAAGCUUUUAUCCAUUUGUGUUUCCACUGAACCACAGGUGAAGGCCCCCCCCCCCACACACACACACACACACACACACAAAGGUACAUAGUAUAAUUCAGACACAAUGCCAAAUCUGAUCAAACUUUAAUAUCGUCUUGUCUUUUUAUAUGAAUCAAGUUGUGUAUUAAUUAGACUGUGUUGCUUAAUUUCAGAAAUUUCUGAUACAAGCAAAGGUCUCUCACCCAAUUGGCAAAUGUUUGGCUUGAUUCUAGCAUUUCUUUCUAAAACAGCCUUUCUUGCACUCAUCACAAGCUCCAGUCGCAAAUACUGAAAGGCCUUUCAAAUUGUAGAGGUACAGUGGUGUGUCAUCAGCAUACAUGCAGUUUAAAUUCCCACCUUAAAAUACAGUGUAAAAAUGUAAGGCCCUAAAAUGGACCCCUGGGGUCCGUCAAACCCUCCAUUCUCUUAUUUCACACAGAGCGUUCUCACCACCCACUCUAAAGGAGCGUUAAACUAGGAUUGUCUUUCCUUCCACAGCCCCCUCCGUCAUAUGAGGAGAGCAUCCGUCAGUCUGCUGAAGUGCCUUUUGACAUUCUGGGGUCUGUAAUGGACACCCCUUACUCGGAGAACCCUCCGUUCCCCGCCGCAGACCUGACCACUCGGACAGCGUUAUCCACUCAGGGCCCGUCCUCUCUGGAUCCAUCACCUCAGGAGAUCAGCAGUGCCAGACUCCCCGUCUGAACCCCUCAGACCCCCCUCUACCUACUCCUCCUGGCCAACGGUGGUGAGGGCGUCGGGACUGUGGAUGCUCUGUACACUCCUUGCUUUUUGAAUGGGAGACAUUAGAAAUCUACACAUUUUCAAUAGGUCCAAUCAGAUCACUAGAUGGACUGCAUCGUGGGAAUAUCCAGCGCUGAAAGUGCGUCGGUAAUGGGACGACGACCAAAGAUUGAGAAAUUCCUCCACUGCCUCCGUGGCAGGUUACUUCAUGCUGACCUACUUGAAUGUCUAUACAACCUUGUCAGUUAUGUAAGUUAUCCGAAAUAAGACCGGGGAGACCUUGAUUGCCAUUUAUCUGCUGGAGAUGACUAAUGACAUGAUUAUAUCUGAGAUGGCAGGUUCAUCUCACGCAAAAAGGAAUGGCUCUGACACUUCCCGUCUGUACAGACUAACCAUUUCUGUAAACAGAUGAAAACACCAAAAAGGGAAGAACAGGAAAGUUACACUUUUUACAAUUGUUUCUCAUAUUAUUUACUUUUGAUCAAUGGUACCCUCUUUAAGUCACUUUAUGGAUGAAAGUAAUCUUGAUUGUACUGUUUUAGGGGGAACUGUGUUGUAGCAAAUCCUAUUCUGUGUAAAACCACUCUCAUUUCGUAGAGCUGUGUGGGAGCCAAAGACAUAUGUGGGGGAGUUCUACAGCAGUCAGCUACAACUCGCGUGUUAGCCUUGAAACCUGUGAAGAGAGUGAGUCAACAACACCAGACCUGUCUUAGCACUGGCACAAGAGUCUUAAAAGACAAUUAAGCACUGGGAUUCUAGGAUACUCCAACCUGACGUGGCUUUGUCCAUUCAAAAGCUAUAUGAAUGUGUUCAAUGAAAAUAUCAAAAGCAAAUUGCUUUUUGUUCACAAGCUGAUUUUAUUAACUAAACUCUGGGUGGCCUUUUUUAAUAGUCCAUGAACAAGCCGGGGAAUAAAAAACAGCAAAUAUAAAGUAUACUUUCUCCUAGUCUAUAAAAAAGUAAGAUGCUUAAUCAGCAGUUAAUUACAGAUACGCUUAUUCAAAGAACAACAAGGGGGGAACAUUUGAAUGUUUUUACAGAAGUUAAAACAUCAGUCAAUUUUCCUUUGAACCCACCACUUACUUAUAUCUGGCCUAUGACUAUUAACACACAUUAAGCUCACUAUGUACAGAUUUAUGUAUAUACAUAUUAAACUGAGGUGUUACAUAUUGAACUUCUUUUUUGUACAUUCUUCUACAGGGAAAUUGCCAAAUGUUAAAUAUCAUACCAACAGGAGUAAAAUGAAUGUUUUUUUUCUUUCUGAGCUAAUAAACAG
ensembl:lncRNA